UACGAAGGGGGCUAGCGUUGCUCGGAAUCACUGGGCGUAAAGCGCACGUAGGCGGCUUCUUAAGUCAGGGGUGAAAUCCUGGAGCUCAACUCCAGAACUGCCUUUGAUACUGAGGAGCUUGAGUCCGGGAGAGGUGAGUGGAACUGCGAGUGUAGAGGUGAAAUUCGUAGAUAUUCGCAAGAACACCAGUGGCAAAGGCGGCUCACUGGCCCGGUACUGACGCUGAGGUGCGAAAGCGUGGGGAGCAAACAGG
rnacentral:rRNA from 1 species